GUUCUUGUAGUUGAAUACAACAGUGGUUUUUCAAGUCACAGGUCUUGGUUAAAAUCCAAGCGGGAAUC
rnacentral:tRNA from 1 species